rnacentral:tRNA from 1 species
GGGAGUGAAGCUCAAAUGGACGAGCGCCGGUUUCCAAAUCCGGAGGCUCCAGGUUCGAGGCCUGGCUCUCCCG